UGUAUAUAUCAAGUGUCGGCAUGCAUGAAUGU
rnacentral:sRNA from 1 species